rnacentral:lncRNA from 1 species
AGCAGCAGCAGCAACAACAAGAGCAGCAGCAGCAGCAGCAGCAGCAGCAGCAGCAGCAGCAGCAGCCACAAGCCUUGCCUCGGUAUCCUCGUGAAGUACCUCCACGAUUUCGCCACCAGGAACACAAACAGCUUCUAAAGAGGGGUCAGCAUUUUCCAGUCAUAGCAGCAAACUUGGGAUCUGCUGUUAAGGUGUUAAACAGCCAAUCAGAAAGCAGUGCUGUAACAAAUCAACAGCCACAAAAUAACGGAGAGGUGCAGAACAGCAAAAGCCAGUCAGAUAUAAAUCAUAAUACUUCAGGAUCCCAUUAUGAAAAUUGCCAGCGGGGACCUGUGUCUUCUACAAGUGACUGUAGCACAAGCUGUAAGAAUGCUGUAAACGAC